CCAGUGGCGAACGGUCGCGUAACACGUAAGCAACCUGCCCUGAAGUGGGGGACAACAUCCCGAAAGGGGUGCUAAUACCGCAUGUGGUCACGAGUCGGCAUCGACUUGUGUCUAAAGAUUUAUCGCUUCAGGAUGGGCUUGCGGCCUAUCAGGUAGUUGGUGGGGUAAUGGCCUACCAAGCCGACGACGGGUAGCUGGUCUGAGAGGACGAUCAGCCGGAUUGGGACUGAGAUACGGCCCAGACUCCUACGGGGGGCAGCAAUUAGGAAUCUUGCGCAAUGGGGGAAACCCUGACGCAGCGACGUCGCGUGAAGGAUGAAGGCCCUCGGGUCGUAAACUUCUUUUGAGUGGGAAGAAAUUUGACGGUACCACUCGAAUAAGCCCCGGCUAACUACGUGCCAGCAGCCGCGGUAAUACGUAGGGGGCGAGCGUUGUCCGAAGUUACUGGGCGUAAAGCGCGCGUAGGCGGUUAUUUAAGUCUGGGGUGAAAGGUUCAGCGCUCAACGUGAACAGUGCCUUGGAUACUGGAUGACUUGAGUCUGGGAGGGGGAAGGGGAAUUCCUGGUGUAGCGGUGAAAUGCGUAGAUAUCAGGAGGAACACCGGUGGCGAAGGCGCCUUCCUGGCCUAAGACUGACGCUGAGGUGCGAAAGCGUGGGGAGCAAACGGGAUUAGAUACCCCGGUAGUCCACGCCGUAAACG
rnacentral:rRNA from 1 species